GAGGGUAUAGCUCAGCAGUAGAGCGCAUGUUUAGCAUGCAUGAGGUCCUGGGUUCAAUCCCCAGUACCUCCU
rfam:Camelus ferus unplaced genomic scaffold scaffold2630, whole genome shotgun sequence.